CUUAUCUACACCUUCACCAAAGAGCACUAAGAUCUAAAGGCUUCCAGGAGACCAUUACCAGUGGGAUGGAUCUGCCACACCUGAUUUGUGCUCCUCUUCUCCCUAAGUAGUAAACCUUGGUGAAGAGCAGGUUUGUGGUUAAAUACAUGUUUUGUCAGGUUCUGCAUGUGCUUGUGAUGCACAUUUUUUAGUUUGAAAAGGCCAAGUCAGUAACUUGCUCAGAGAAUGGGAGGAGGUGAUGCUUGUGAGGCUCCUUGUUCUUGUUGGGGCUCAGCGCUGGACACAGUUCCAAGGAUCCUCCAUCUCACUGGUGGACAUGCUUCCCUGAUACAACAGAAGGUGUUCCCGAAAAAAAACAAGCAGAUCACAGAUGCCAAAAGUGAGCAGUUCAUGCCAUGCCUCCUUCAGUUGUGUCCAGCCAUGCAAAGACAUUGAGCCAGCAAGAGAAGAAUACAGUAUAAUGUUUCAAAAAGAAAAAAUCUUGAGAAACACCCUUCGAAUCAUCCCAAAACCAAUGAUGAUUGCAGUAUUUCACUCUCUUUGCUAUGAAAUUUGCUGUAAAGCUUGAAGAUAGCUUCCUGAAAGGUUACACCACUGCUGGAUAUGAGAAAGAACCUACAAGAAACAAUCAUAAAGCGUUUUUUAGUACCAUUUACUUGUUUCUCCAAAGCAAUAAAAAAGAAACUUAAGGUAAGAGAAAAAUAAAGGGGUGUUAUGUUCUUCAGGUACCAAGCAGGUUAAACUGACAUGUGUGUUAUUUGAGUACAUUGCGCAAUAGAACAACUCACUUUGCUUUCAGACACACAAGUGUUUUGUUGGGGUCUACGAUGUGUGUAGUCUGGUUCAGUGGUUCCUAAACCGUGGUCAACAGAACACUGGUGGUCCAGGAGGCCAUGGUAAAGGGUUCGCAGCUAAUCCACAGAGCCAUAUUAAACACUGUUUUAAAUAGUGUUUUCAAUUAAAAGUUUGAGGAUAAUGAUGCCUGGUGGUCCACAAGAAAUUGUGAGGGUUGAUAGCAAUCCAAAAAAGUUUGGGAACCUCUGUUGUAGUUCCUAGUGUGUUCUCUAAAAACGUGUAUUGAUAUUCACUCCUCUCUUCUUCACCUGCUAGCUGAAGUCAAAGCCAAGGCCUAUGUUUUAAAAUAUAUCCUGUUGGCUUGCAGGAUU